rnacentral:rRNA from 1 species
AGGGUUUGAUCAUGGCUCAGGACGAACGCUGGCGGCGUGCUUAAUACAUGCAAGUCGAACGAGGACCAGGGGGCUUGCUCCCUGUAACCGAGUGGCGAACGGGUGAGUAACACGUGAUCAACCUGUCCUAGGGCGGGGGACAACCUGGGGAAACCUGGGCUAAUACCGCAUGAUGUCUCAUUCUCGCAUGGGAAUGAGAUCAAAGAGGGCCUCUGCUUGCAAGCUCUCACCCAAGGAGGGGAUCGCGACGUAUCAGCUUGUUGGUGGGGUAACGGCCUACCAAGGCUAUGACGCGUAGCGGGUCUGAGAGGAUGACCCGUCACAUUGGGACUGAGAUACGGCCCAGACUCCUACGGGAGGCAGCAGUAGGGAAUAUUGCGCAAUGGACGAAAGUCUGACGCAGCGACGCCGCGUGUGGGAGGAAGCCUUUCGGGGUGUAAACCACUGUCAGAGGGGAAGAAUCCCGUCGGUCUGAAUAUGGCCGACGGCUGACGGUACCCUCAGAGGAAGCGCCGGCUAACUCCGUGCCAGCAGCCGCGGUAAUUC